GGUGAACGCUGGCGGCGUGCCUAACACAUGCAAGUCGAGCGGUGCAGUUUGAAGCUUCGGUGGAAAGCUGCAUAGCGGCGGACGGGUGAGGAAAACGUAGGAACGUGCCCCUUGGAGUUGGAUAGCCACGGGAAACUGUGGGUAAACCGACAUAGACUCGAGAGAGUAAAGGCCGAAAGGCGCCAAGGGAGCGGCCUGCGGCCCAUCAGGUAGUUGGUAGUGUAAAGGACUACCAAGCCGACGACGGGUAGCCGGUCUGAGAGGAUGGCCGGCCACAAGGGCACUGAGAGACGGGCCCUACUCCUACGGGAGGCAGCAGUGGGGGAUUUUGGACAAUGGGCGAAAGCCUGAUCCAGCGACGCCGCGUGGAGGACGAAGCCCUUCGGGGUGUAAACUCCUUUUCUCAGGGAAAAAGGAUGAUGGUACCUGAGGAAUAAGCCCCAGCCAACUACGUGCCAGCAGCCGCGGUAAUCAUACUUGUA
rnacentral:rRNA from 1 species